GCGAAAGCCUGACCCAGCAACGCCGCGUGAAGGAUGAAGUAUUUCGGUAUGUAAACUUCGAAAGAAUAGGAAGAAUAAAUGACGGUACUAUUUAUAAGGUCCGGCUAACUACGUGCCAGCAGCCGCGGUAAUACGUAGGGACCAAGCGUUGUUCGGAUUUACUGGGCGUAAAGGGCGCGUAGGCGGCGUGGUAAGUCACUUGUGAAAUCUCUGAGCUUAACUCAGAACGGCCAAGUGAUACUGCUGUGCUAGAGUGCAGAAGGGGCAAUCGGAAUUCUUGGUGUAGCGGUGAAAUGCGUAGAUAUCAAGAGGAACACCUGAGGUGAAGACGGGUUGCUGGGCUGACACUGACGCUGAGGCGCGAAAGCCAGGGGAGCAAACGGGAUUAGAUACCCCGGUAGUCCUGGCCCUAAACGAUGAAUACUUGGUGUCUGGAGUCUUUAAUGCUCCGGGUGCCGUCGCUAACGUUUUUAGUAUUCCGCCUGGGGAGUACGCUCGCAAGAGUG
rnacentral:rRNA from 1 species